CUGUAGGUAAAUCCGCAGCGCACAUAGCCUGAGACCUGAUGGUGACCCCGUAAGGGGGAAGUAGGGUGAUCCCAUGCUGCCUAGAAAAGCCUCGGCGCGAGGUUCGAGCCGCCCGUACCCUAAACCGACUCAGGUGGUCAGGUAGAGAAUACCAAGGCGAUCGAGUGAAUCGUGGUUAAGGAACUCGGCAAAAUGCCCCCGUAACUUCGGGAGAAGGGGGGCCUGAGGCGUGAAGCUCUUUACGGGCUAGCGUUUGAGGGCCGCAGAGACCAGGGGGAAGCGACUGUUUACUAAAAACACAGGUCCGUGCCAAGUCGCAAGACGAUGUAUACGGACUGACGCCUGCCCGGUGCUGGAACGUUAAGGGGACCGGUUACUGCACCUUGUGUGUGGGAAGCUGAGAACUUAAGCGCCAGUAAACGGCGGUGGUAACUAUAACCAUCCUAAGGUAGCGAAAUUCCUUGUCGGGUA
rnacentral:rRNA from 1 species